rnacentral:misc_RNA from 1 species
GCUAAUUGGUUGUGAGAAAUUUAAAGUAUAAUAUGCCUGGAAACAGCUGUGCCUUGUUUAAAAUACCAAAAUUUGAAGUCGCACACAGAGUUGUGAGAUAUCAAGCUCAAUUUCACGAGUAAUUGUAAAAAAAAACUAAAGAGAAUAAAAAUUUUGCUACCCAGAGCGUUUUUAAUUCCCCAAAUCAUGGGAAGAGAGAAAUUUGAAUUUCUUUCCUUCUAGUAAAAUUACAAUCUUAAUUUUAAUUAAAAUCCAAAUUUUGAAAAUCUUAAUUUCUUGUAACAAGUGAUUGGAUAAGUGACAUUCUGUUGAUUUUCGGAUGAAUUUUAGGAGUAAAAUUAGAGGUUUGAAUUUUAUCUACAAAAUUAGGAGUUUGAAUCCUAAAAUCUCUAUUAUUAGGAGGGUUUUACCCAAAUACCACUACCCGAAGGAAACCAUGUGUUUAAG